rnacentral:lncRNA from 1 species
CCGGCCCCCUUAGACGGAGGUGGUGGGUCUGGCUUCUCCUGGGGUUCGUCAUAGGGUAGAAAGUGUGAGAAGCUUGGACUGACUUGGGUUCAAAUUUUGUCUCUCACACUCCAGCUGUGUGCCUCUGGGCUAGUGACCUCACCUCUCUGAGCCUUGGUUUUCUCCUUUUGAAAAUGGGCAAAAUAAUACAUUGUACAGGUUAUGUGGUGAAUCAAGUUAGAUUAUAGUUAGAGAGUACGUAGUGAGGUUCUGGUUUAUAGUAAGUGCUCCACAAAUCCAGCAUCUCACUUCUUCCCCCCAACAGAGCAGUUGGGCAGGCAGGAAUCAGAAGCUCAGAGAGGCAAAGGGACUUGACUAAGGGUGCACAGCAAGUGAGCAAAAAGUGGGCACCUACUUCCUUCCCUGGGAAUUCCUGUCAUCACUCUUGUGAAAGGGCCCAGCCCAUUUCCCAAUAGAAGGUUGAGGCGCCUGUCCCCUGCCUGUUCCCAGCCACUCCAGGACAAUGGAGAGGAGAGGUGAUUGUAAAGGUGACCACAGCCACCGAUGUUUUAGAGCUCCUGCAGUGGCCAGGCCCCAUGCUCUGUCAGUGCGAUUUCACUUCAUUCUCCAGACAACCCUGGGAAAUAAGAACUGCUAUUAUCCUUCCCAUCUGAGAGCCACUGAGGAAACAUCCACAGGCCUGCGGCUGGAGAUUGAACAGGGCCGCAUUCACGCUUCCAGGUGCCUCCUGCCCUGCUGUGGCCCUGUGGGCACCAGUGAUUUAUGCUUUAUCCGGGAGGCCUCUGGGCUGCAGGCAGCAGGAUGGGCUGCCUCCCGACUGUCAAAGGAAGAAACUGAGGAUCAGAGAAGUCAAGAAAUUUGGACAAAGCCCCCUAGCAGGAAAAGUGGUGGAGCUGGAACUGGAGCUGAGAUUUAAGUGUCUUGACUCCCUGGAUUUCCCGGGAUGACCCUGAAUCUGCAGGCCCAUAAUCAUCUCUGAUUCUCUUUGCUGGGCUCCACCACACCAGUGGGAAGAUGAUAGAGAUCUUCAGGGACCUGGAGAAGAGGGAAGCAACACAGCAGGACCUAUCUUUAAUCCAGCAACAGGUUCCAGAAUGUUCCAGAGGGCAGAGGAUCGGUGUCUUCUGGAGGCAGCAGGAUGUAGGACUCGCAUCCACGGGAGCCACGGAGGGUGUGCGAGGAGCUGGGCACAGAGCAGUUGAUGUUCCCUAGCCAUCAGGACCAGAGUAGAAAACCAGGCUGGUGAGUGCCUUCUUUCUCCCCGCGAAGACGUAACCUGGGCGUUUGCCCCCCAGGAAAAGGCUUCAGCCUAGUCUAGCAGAAUAGCUUUGAAAUCAGACAACCAAGACUCAAGUCCUGGCUCUGGCCCUCGCUGUGUGAUCUUGGAUAAGUCUCUUGGCCUCUCUGAGUCUCAGUUUCCUCAUCUGUAAUGUGGAAAUAGAGACCACACGACAGGGAUGCUGAGACCUUGAGCGACAUGUGAAGUCAAAUAAGCAGAUGCCAGUUUCUUUCCUUCCUUCUCCUCUCCUGGCCCUGAAGAAUCCAGCGCCCUGAGGGAUCCCCGGGGAGGGGGAGCAGAGCCUGCUGCUUCCAGCGUGGGAGUUCUUUGGGGUCCGUGGAUAGGUUUUACUGUGUUCAUGAACCCCUGAAAUAAUAACAAUAAUGCAUUUUUCUGGUUAGAAAGUCUACAGCUUUUAUCAAAUGCCCAAAGGGCUCCAUAAUGCCCCAAAACCAAGGACCACUGCUCUGAGGUUGGGUCUGGUCUCCUGUCCUGUGCUACCCCAGGCCCAGUCGUCAGGCCAUCUGCCAGCCUUGCUGGCCAUCGAGCCCUGGCCAGGACCUAGUUCUCAGGAGGGUGCAGCCCGGAUCUGGGCUGGUGCAGGGAACAAAGGGCCCAGGUGGAGGGGCCCUUCUGAAGGGCCACAGGGCUGUGCAUGUCACUCCUUCAAUCGUCCCUGAGCCCUGGGAUGCAAGAGCUGUUAUCAUCCCCACUUUGGAGGAGAGGAAACUGAGGCUCAGAGAAGGGGCGGGAGGGCACACAGCUAGAGGCAGUGUGGGAUUUGGACCCUGUGCCAGCUGAUUCUGGAGCCUGUGCUCUUUCCACGGUGGCACAGGGGACCCAGGCAGUCUUUGGGGGUCCCAAGAUGGGAAUAGGGCUGCAGGAUACAGCAAUUCGCUUGUACCCUGCCCAGGGCCCCUGGUUGAGGGAGCGCAUUGGAGAGUGAAAAGCAUCUUAAAGGCAGCCGAGUUCCACCAGCUGGGGCUUGCACCCAGGGCCGUCAAUAGCCUGGAGGAAGAGCAAGCUUUUGGGAAGGGUUGCACCCCGAGGGGUGCUCCUCUCUAAUUGGCUGCUCAGAGGGAUGCCUUUUUCUAGCUCCAACAAAGCCCCUAGAUGGGCUCCCUGCAAUCCUGGUGGAAACACGUUUUCAAAGGCGAGCAUGUUGGCGGGAACUGAGGCGCUCGGCCCAGCUUCUAAAAUGAUGCUUCUGAGUGGACUCCCGGGGGGCCAGGGCCUGGGAAGAGCCAGCUCAGCUUCAGCAGGUGGGAGACAGUGCCUGACACUCUCCCAGGCAGCCAGGGCCCAUGAGCAGGGGGCUUAGGACCCUGUGCAUUCUGCUCGGCUGCCCCCUCCAACCUCACCUCGCCCCCCGUCUCUCACCCCCGCUCACCAUGGGAAUCCCGGGCAUCGGAGGCGGGGCCCCAUCUGCCAUCAUUUUCCGAGCCGCGUUGAUCCAACGGUGCUAGCUUUCUAGGGAAGGGUGGGCAAGCCUUCCUGGUCCCCUAGAACGUCCCCCCAUCACUGGACAUCUGCCAGGAUGGGUGGCUGCUCCUCCCAGGCAGGCCCGAUGGCCACUUGUAAGGACUGACCACCAGGGGCCUCCAGCACCCAGCUUCCCUCUCUUCUCCUCUUCCCAACCCCCUCCCUGCCACCACCUCCAGCCUGAUUAAUUCCCCCAAAUCUGCCAUGCCACAAUGACUAAUCAGGCGCAUGCCCCACUAAUUGGCACUCAGAGACUUGACAAAUGGCUCUGCUUGCGGGAUUCUGGGGCUCAGCCGCCUUAACUUCCCACGCCCAAACGACCCCAGGUUUGCCCCUAAGAUAAGUGAGCUGGAACCUUGUUGGGGAGGGGGAGCAGAGGACCCAGGACAGAAGGGAAAGCCGCCACAACCCUCUGAUUAACUCAGCUCUGCCACUUCCUGGCUGUGUGACUUGGAGCAGAUUGUCUCCCUCUCUGAGCUCAGCCUUCAGGCUCCUGCCUUCUCUGAACUGGGCCUUGUCUCCAGCUUUAGCCCCUCAGGCCCCUUGUCCCCACCAUUCCAUCCAACCUGCCCAACAGAAGUGGCUUAGUCCCAGCUCUCUGGGG